UACGGGGGGGGCAAGCGUUGUUCGGAAUUACUGGGCGUAAAGGGCUCGUCGGCGGCCAACUAAGUCAGACGUGAAAUCCCUCGGCUUAACCGGGGAACUGCGUCUGAUACUGGUUGGCUUGAGUUUGGGAGAGGGAUGCGGAAUUCCAGGUGUAGCGGUGAAAUGCGUAGAUAUCUGGAGGAACACCGGUGGCGAAGGCGGCAUCCUGGACCAACACUGACGCUGAGGAGCGAAAGCCAGGGGAGCAAACGGG
rnacentral:rRNA from 1 species